rnacentral:lncRNA from 1 species
GCUACUAUCUAGAUCUACUCUAGUUUAGAGAAGAGAGGAGAGCUCUCAUCUCUAAACCCUAGCUUUUGCUCUGUCUACGAAUAAUGAAUAAUGAUCAAGGGGUGCCUCCUCCAGGGGCCAGGGGGUCUGGUUAUAUAGUCCCGUCAAGUGAACCUGGGCUGUCGGAUCAAACCGACAUUGAUUGAACGGUUAUUCUUGAUCCUUUAGGUCGGUGGAGAUCUCCAGAGAGAAGGAGUCCUGAUUGGGCUCCAAGUCAGGGCGGGUGCCCAGGGCAGGAGGGCGGGCGCCCUGACUCUGGCCCCGUUCGGCCUCUGCUUCCUUCCCAUGGCUCCUAGAGUCCUCUAGAUGUAAGAUAAUUGCACGGCACGUUAAUAUCUCUAUGUAAUCCCGACAUGUGGGCCUUUCUUCUGUAUUUCCUGAUAACCCCCUGCAGAAAUAGACAAUCACCAAAGCUCAUGGAAUUCUGUCAGAUAAAACCCUAAGUCUAGAUGUUGAUUUCAUUUGGAUCCUUUUCUUUGUUUAUUUGAUAAUUAAAUUUGAUACUUAAGGAUUGUCAACAAACUCCCCCAAACUUACCUCUUGCUCAUCCCUGAGCAAGGAUAGACUCAGCAAUGGAUCAGAAGUUGUUGCAAUAUCUUAAAAAUUUGACGGUACACAUGCUUUAAAAUAAGAUCUCAUCUCUGAGUUAGAGUAAACUGUCAAGAACUAAAACUUACUUAGUUUACCUUUCACCAUGGGACUUGUAACCGUCACUUCUGUCUUGAGUAGUUAAAAGAUAGAACAGUCUAGCCAAGUGCCAUGUCUCUUAUUCUUGAUCAGCUAUAGCUCUGGAGUUUUUUGCAGAUUUUCAAAUAAAACUCAGAGAUUCCUUGUAUGACUCUCUAAAUGUCUCUUUUGUGGUAUUUCUGGAUCCUUACCAAGGCAGUGAUAGUAUAUGCCUUCUCUCAAGAUAUGUGGUAUUUGUGGUAUAAGGCAUAGUGACAUUGCCUUCUCUCUCACCCUACUCUAAUAAGGCUUUAAUAUCUGGAGCUCAUAGGUGGGAGACAGCUAAUACAUACUUACAAGACAUUUAUUGCAUAGUCAAACCAUGGAUCUAGAGAAACAAGUCAAUAAGUCAAAUCAAGAUGUGCAUGUGUGGCGAAUGAAUGGUGUAUGGUGAUGAUGGUGAUUACAAUGGUGGAAGUCUAAUUCUACUUUUGCUCUUUUGAGGGGAUACAUACCUUCCUUGCUUUUUGAAACUUUAUGAGGAGAAUGAGAUGCUCUAUCUUUCAUUUUUUCUUUCCUCUUAGGUGGGUAUCCUAUACCCCUAAUUCUACUGUCGGACACUUGUCCAUUUUUACCUCUCGUCUCACUCUUUUUCUUUUCUUUCGAGGUUCUAGGCACUUGACCCUUUUGAUUUCCUCAUAUAUUUUUUUCUCUCCUUUUUUUUAGAGCACUCGUCUCAUGAGAUAAUAUAGCAAGUGGUAGUAACAAGAUAACUUGAGCAUUUAUUUCACAAGGAAAAACAGAAAUAUUUUUGGUUAUUCUCUCCCGGAUUAGGAGUAGAAUAUUUUUGGGUGGUUCUGGAGAUGGAAAUGAGUGGAUAUAUGUGGAUGGUACUUCCGGAGUAGAAGUAGCAUAUAUGAGUGAAUGUGCAAGUGAAAUCUUGAUUUAACCACAUGCAAUCUCCUAAGGGUCUACACAGCUUGACCACACUCAAUGCUCAUAAGCAGUAAAUUGUAAAUGUGUGGCUCAAAGUCUAGCAAGCAUGUAUAUAUGGCUGUGGUAGGAAUUUAAACUUUCAUCAUACAGGAACUCAUCAUGCAAUAUUUUAAAGAUUUUUUAAAGAUAAAAUUCUCCAGAAUUCUAGCAUCUCUAGGAACAGAUAAACAACAGCUCAACCUUCCCAUAUCAUAUCCGUUAACAACAUAGAUUUCAGAUCAAGUUUUUAUCCCACAAGUUUAGAUCUAGAGCAAGCUUUAAAUUAUAACAGUUAUGUCUAAACUUGAGAGAGAACUUCAAAUUUGCAAAUUAGGCAG